AUUGAACGCUGGCGGCAGGCCUAACACAUGCAAGUCAAGCGAGCGGCGGACGGGUGAGUAAUGUAUGGGGAUCUGCCUGAUGGAGGGGGAUAACUACUGGAAACGGUAGCUAAUACCGCAUACCAUCAGAUGAACCCAUAUGGGAUUAGCUGGUAGGUGAGGUAACGGCUCACCUAGGCGACGAUCCCUAGCUGGUCUGAGAGGAUGACCAGCCACACUGGAACUGAGACACGGUCCAGACUCCUACGGGAGGCAGCAGUGGGGAAUAUUGCACAAUGGGCGCAAGCCUGAUGCAGCCAUGCCGCGUGUGUGAAGAAGGCCUUCGGGUUGUAAAGUACUUUCAGUCGGGAGGCGUUACCGGCAGAAGAAGCACCGGCUAACUCCGUGCCAGCAGCCGCGGUAAUUC
rnacentral:rRNA from 1 species